CUCCAAUUAAGAACAUAACUGUCGAAGGUACUAAUUGGAUAAAGCCAUGGGAUCUUUUGUCUUUAAAUGUCACGUGUCAUGGAUCUGGUCCUUUUUAUAAAUGCCUUCAGUAUCAUCGUGGCAAUUACAAUAUUACUGGAAAUGAAACGUGCGAUAACGGCGAAAAGCUUAACUCGUGUAACUUUUCAAUUAGUCAUUACUUCUUAGAUCCUACUGUUUAUACAAUAUUGAUGAUACUUAAGAAUGAUGUCAGUGUGCAUGUUUAUCCGUUAACUAUUAACAUUUAUGAGGCAACGGCAAAGCCUCAAUUAUCUGUUAUCGUUGUACCGGUAUCCUGUACAUUAGCUGCUGUGGUAUUGAUAGUAUUUGGUAUUGCAUAUUAUCUUCAAAGUCGAGCACGAUUUACCGUUGAAGUUGCAGACUUUGAUUUCGGUCAAACCAAUCCAGAAAUGGAGUAUAAGACAUUCACCGAGCGGCUACGCGACUCGUUUAAUAGCACUGUAAGCGAUGGAUAUAGAAAUUUAAAAAUUACAUCACCCUAUUACGGGAGCAUGAACUGAUGGAAAUAUUUUCCAUCGUGCCCUAUCAUGAUUAAUGCAUGAGUAAUAAUUAAAGGAUACAAGCAGUUAGGUGAUCCAAAAACUAUUCAAAACUAAACUGAAGGACGAUUGAGAUAUGAAGAAUGUUAUUUAAAUAAUAAUGAUUAUUUCUAUACUUAUAGAUUUAUAGUAUCAUCGCGUUUCUAAAGCCAAUAGGACGUAUUACAGUAAAGCUGGGUAAAGUGUCAAACUUAAUGUUGAUAAAAUAGAAAAUAUUUUGUGAUGUAAGUCAGUUAUAAAUUUGUAAAAAAAAAAAAAAGCAAAUUAAUUAUUAAAGUUUUUAUAGAAAUUAUUUUUUCAAAUAUGUUAGAAAUUUUUUCUUUGAUGAAGAAAAAAAUUUAUACGCUCUCAUGACUUUAAUUAUAAAAAUGUUUAUAUUGGAAAGCUCAAAGGCCGUGAAAUUUAACAUUCACCCUUUUGCUUUUAGUAUAAAGUAAAAAGGGUGUAGGGUGACUAAGCCAGUAAAUGAACGUUCAUGUAUUUUUUAAUAUUUUCAGAUAGAAUUCUA